AAGGAUCAUUAGAAAAAACGAGGAUUAAUCUUCCUUGGGGAUCCGACUGACAUCUAUCAUCGGUAUCUUUACCUUCGACCUGGACUGAGCUGAUAGAGAGCCCCUCCGGGUGAUUUAUCGAAUUGCCGCAGGUGAUUGGUCUAUCCAUGUGAACUUCCCUGUUGCUUUGGCAGCUUCCCCUCCAUCAUGGAUGAGUUGUAAGCCUGCCAAUAGCUCCUACCAAAACACUCUCUUGAUAUUUUUGAACUGUCUGAGCAAUGAGAAAGGCAAAUUAUUAUAAAACUUUCAACAACGGAUCUCUUGGUUCUC
rnacentral:misc_RNA from 1 species